rnacentral:rRNA from 1 species
AAUUUGAAAUCUGGCCCCUUCGGGGUCCGAGUUGUAAUUUGUAGAGAGUGCUUCGGGUGAGACCGCGGUCUAAGUCCAUUGGAACAUGGCGUCCCAGAGGGUGAGAAUCCCGUAUGUGACUGCGGCUCGAGCCCAUGUGAAGCCUCUUCGACGAGUCGAGUUGUUUGGGAAUGCAGCUCUAAAUGGGUGGUAAAUUUCAUCUAAAGCUAAAUACUGGCUGGAGACCGAUAGCGCACAAGUAGAGUGAUCGAAAGAUGAAAAGCACUUUGGAAAGAGAGUUAAACAGUACGUGAAAUUGUUGAAAAGGAAGCGCUUGCAACCAGACCUGUCCGUAGGCGAUCACCCGCUGUUCUCAGCGGUGCACUCGUUCUGCGAUCAGGCCAGCAUCGGUUCGGGCGGCCGGAUAAAGGCCUUGGGAAUGUAGCUCUCCUCCGGGGGAGUCUUAUAGCCCUCGGUGCAAUGCGGCCAGCCGGGACCGAGGACCGCGCUUCGGCUAGGAUGCUGGCGUAAUGGUUGUAAGCGACCC